rnacentral:lncRNA from 1 species
AAUUGGAUAUGGGUAUUGUAGCUGAAACGUCUUGCGAGCUGAGUCAGGGUCGGGGAAGCUGUGAUGGCAAUGAGAAGUCAACACACUGAGGAUGGAGAGAAAGAAGAUGAGUCUGGGAGAGAAAGAGAAUGAUUCUUCUGGCCGAGGGAAAGCAAGAAUAUCUGUUCCUGCAACUGCACUGAUUCUAGAAACACUCUCUAUUCGAACUCUCAUGAGCCAUGAUGUGCUUACUAUGUGGCAGGCACUGCUCUUGGUGCUGUGACAAAAACAGGACAUCUAGAGCCUCUGUCUUCAUGGAUCUCAUAUUCUAUUGGGUGGAGAGACGACCGAUUGAUGAUGUUCAUGGAUGCCUUUGAAAUUUGCCAAUAAUGAAAAAACUGAGGUAUAGGAUGAUACAACUGGGCCAGGCAUGGUGGCUCACAUCUGUAAUACCAGCACUUUGGGAGGCCAAGGGAGGAGGAUCACUUGAACCCAGGUGUUUGAGACCAGCCUGAGAAAAACAGGAAGAACUCAUCUCUACAAAAAAAUUAUCUAGUGCUGACCUGCUUGGUGAAUGCUGGGAUCUCUGGAA